rnacentral:misc_RNA from 1 species
GAUGAAGAACGUAGUGAAAUGCGAUAAGUAAUGUGAAUUGCAGAAUUCAGUGAAUCAUCGAGUAUUUGAACGCACAUUGCGCCCCCUGGUAUUCCGGGGGGCAUGCCUGUCCGAGCGUCAUUGCUGCCCUCAAGCACGGCUUGUGUGUUGGGCCCCCGUCCCCGGUUUCCCCCGGGGACGGGCCCGAAAGGCAGCGGCGGCACCGCGUCCGGUCCUCGAGCGUAUGGGGCUUUGUCACCCGCUCUGUAGGCCCGGCCGGCGCCAGCCGACACCCAACUUUAUUUCUAAGGUUGACCUCGGAUCAGGUAGGGAUACCCGCUGAACUUAAGCAUAUCAAUAAGCGGAGGA